rnacentral:lncRNA from 1 species
GGCUUGGGCUACAGUAAAAUGAACAAGAGGGAAGAUUCAGUUUUCUUUAUGGAGGAGUCUGGUCAUGGGUAGUAUAAUUUUGGAGGGCAACUUAUCAGCUUUCCUGAGAUUCUGUUUGAUCAUGAUAAUAAAAAAACACCACAUUUGCAAAAAUGAGGUUAAAAAAAAAUCCAUACAGACAUUGGUCUCUUAACUGAUCUCUUUUUUUUCCUCCACCUAGAAGCUAGAUCCGUGAGCAAAAUCAAAUGAGCUUGAAUUGCACAGGGAAUCUCCAAAUGAAAGGCUCUCCUGGGUGCUCCUCCAUCUUCCUGUUCCACUUGAUCUUUCAGAAGUGUUGAGCACCGGUUGAUAUAAUCGAGUUUAUUGGAGCUCAGAAACCUGUGCUACUCGCUGCCCGCACCGAGGCAAAAAACCCGAACGCCCAGCAGCCAGGAAGGAAGUACUUGAAGCUGUCCUGCUCCGGCCUGAAUACAGGGAGAGAAGCUGGUGUGUUGUCUAACUUGCACGUGUGGUUGUUCUUCAGAAACAGAACCACAGUAGAGUGGAAUAAUAGCAGACAUGACUCAAACUGUGACUUUACAAGUUGCCAACUAUUGCACUGACCCGCUAUAGAAACGUGUGUGCGAGGAAGCCGAGUAUACUACGGGGGCAGAGAUGAAACAUACCACCGAAGUUAGGCAAUCUGUACGUUUUCCAGUUUUAAUCUGUUGGGUAUAACAGCGUGUGCUCCUUGUGUGCCAGCAGUCUGACACUUGUACCUCUCUUUCAAGCUCCUUGAGUACUCAAAGCUGUGGUUUUAAGGCACAAUCCAGGGAAUGUGGAAAAGGAUGAAAUAACGAAAGCUUUCUGCUGUGUGUCACGCUUCUGCCAUCGUACUGAUAGUUCAGCUGCAGUUGAACUCAGAAAGGGGUCUUGGAAAUCUCCCUGUAAUUACCUAGAGUCCCAGUACAUUGAUAUGUGGAAAUAGUACACGGGCAGGUAAAAGACAAGAUCUUCGGGUAUGGUGUUGGGCAUCAGUGGAACAGAACGAGCAGUGGAGAGGCAGCUCAAAGAACAAGUGGUGGAAAGCAUGCGUAAGGUGUUUAAAAAGCAAAGGCCCUAAAUAGGUUCUCAGUGUUUGGAGGUGGUUGCCUGUGGAUUACAAGGAAAUCACAAAGGCUCUG